GGCCAUGACCACCGGGGUCCUUCUAGUCUCAGUCAGACCAUUAAGUCUGGCCUUAAUGAGAAUUUGGGCUCUGCAUCCCACUGCUCUCAUGCGCCCUCAGGGGUUCUCUGUUGUGUUCCCAGUAGGGCAGUCAUCAGUUGUAGCUGGGCACCACCUAGUCCUGCUGGUCUCAGGAUGAUGUAGUCUCUGGUUCAUGUGGCCCUUUCUGUCUCUUGGGCUCGUAAUCGCAUUGUGUCCUUGGUGUUCUUCAUUCUCCUUUGAUCCAGGACUUGAAGCACGUACUGAUUAAGAUCAAAGACCGCAGCCUUCAGCAUGGAUUACACCUCAACGUAAAACAAAAAUCCUCACAACUGCACCAAUAAGCAAUAUCAUGGUAAACGGAGAAGAGAUUGAAGUUGUCAAGGAUUUCAUUUUACUUGGAUCCACAAUCAACACCCAUGGGAGCAGCAGUCAAAAAAUCAAAAGACACAUUGCAUUGGGCAAAUCUCCUGCAAAAGACCUCUUUAAAGUGUUGAAAAGCAAAGAUGUCACCUUGAAGACUAAGGCGCACCUGACCCAAGCCAUGGUAUUUUUGGUCGUAUCACAUGCAUGCGAAAGCUGGACAAUGAAUAAGGAAGACUGAAGAAGAAUUGAUGCUUUUGAAUUGUGCUGGUGAAGAAUAUUGAAUGUACCACGGACUGCCAAAAGAACGAACAAAUCUGUCUUGGAAGAAGUACAACCAGAAUACUCCUUAGAAGCAAGGAUGGCGAGACUGCGUCUUACAUACUUUGGACAUGUUAUCAGGAGGGAUCAGUCCCUGGAGAAGGACAUCAUACUUGGUAAAGUACAGGGUCAGUGGAAAAGAGGAAUACCCUCACAAGAUGGAUUGACACAGUGGCUGCAACGGUGGACUCAAGCAUAACAACGAUCGAGAGCAUGGCACAAGGCUGGGCAGUGUUUUGUUCUGUGGUACAUAGGGACACUA